GGCUCUUUGAGAGAAAAAAAAUAAAGAGUCGGACCUGCCCAGUGAAAACUUUUAACGGCCGCGGUACUCUGACCGUGCAAAGGUAGCAUAAUCAUUUGCCUUAUAAUUGAAGGCUUGUAUGAAUGGUUUGACAAGAAUAUAGCUGUCUCUAUGUAAUUUAUUAGAAUUUUAUCUUGAAGUGAAGAAGCUUGAAUGAAAUUAAUAGACAAGAAGACCCUAUCGAGCUUGAAAUAAUGAGUUGUAGAGUAUUUUGAAUAUAAAGUUAAAAAGUUGGUUAUAUCAGAUUUUGGUUGGGGCGACUUAGGAACAUAAAAAGCUUCCUAAAUAAAUAAAUUUGCAAACUUGAUCCAAAAUUUUUUGAUUAAAGAAAUUAGUUACCGUAGGGAUAACAGCAUUAUCUUCUUUAAGAGUUCUAAUCGAAAAGAGGGUUUGUGACCUCGAUGUUGGACCAGAAUGUCCUAAAGAUGCAGCAGUCUUUAAGGGUUGGUCUGUUCGACCAUUAAAAUUCUACG
rnacentral:rRNA from 1 species